GAUGAAGAACGCAGCGAAAUGCGAUAAGUAAUGUGAAUUGCAGAAUUCAGUGAAUCAUCGAGUCUUUGAACGCACAUUGCGCCCCCUGGUAUUCCGGGGGGCAUGCCUGUCCGAGCGUCAUUGCUGCCCUCAAGCACGGCUUGUGUGUUGGGCCCCCGUCCCCGGUUUCCCCCGGGGGCGGGCCCGAAAGGCAGCGGCGGCACCGCGUCCGGUCCUCGAGCGUAUGGGGCUUUGUCACCCGCUCUGUAGGCCCGGCCGGCGCCAGCCGACACCCAACUUUAUUUCUAAGGUUGACCUCGGAUCAGGUAGGGAUACCCGCUGAACUUAAGCAUAUCAAUAAGCGGAGGA
rnacentral:misc_RNA from 1 species